rnacentral:rRNA from 1 species
UACAGAGACUGCGAGCGUUAUUCGGAUUCACUGGGCGUAAAGGGUGCGCAGGCGGCCAAGUGUGUUAGGCGUGAAAGCCCGGGGCUUAACCCCGGAAUUGCACCUAAAACUACAUGGCUAGAGCAUUGGAGAGGGUAGCAGAAUUCACGGUGUAGCAGUGAAAUGCGUAGAUAUCGUGAGGAAUACCAGAGGCGAAGGCGGCUACCUGGACAAUUGCUGACGCUCAGGCACGAAAGCGUGGGGAGCAAACAGG